CGUGCAUGGUGCUCACUAUCGAGACAGCUAAGUCAACAUGAGAAAGACUGACAUAAAUCAUUGAAAAACGCACAUAUCGAACCUCAGCAGUGUGAGGAAAAUGUCGAAAUUGAAGCUGAAACAGACACUACAGGAUGAAUUCGACCGAUUGUAUGAAGAUUUCAUAACAAAUCCAGCUAAACGCCCAAGAUUAAAGAAACGUGUAAAAUUAUGUAGACAGCCUGCAAGUACACAAGUGGAGCACAAGGCAUUGAUUUGUGAUAGUGUUUGUUCAUCUACAUCAUCAAUGGGACAUUCAGAAUCAUUAUUGACAAGGGUGAACAACAACUCUGACGAGGAGCUAAGAACUUCAGGUUUAAAAAAAGAGUGUCGAUUACAGCAAGCAAGUGCUGAUAAUUUAGCAUCUCAUCCAGGGAGACUUAAUGAUAAUGAGCAUUCUGCAUUCAGUGACUACCCUGCAUCAUCACAAUUAGAUAAGAAACUUAGCAGUGAGGAGGUUAUCAACAUUAAAGAGGCAACUUCCAACAGAGAAAAGGAUGAGUUGCUCCAAGGAGAUCAAGCUAUUGAAAGUGAUGCCUUUCUGUUUCACAAACCUAGAACUAACAGACCAAGCGGCUUUUUCCAAGGUUCCAAGUGAGCUAUUGCAAUAAAACUUUCAGAGACAAAAGAAUGCGUCAUAAAUACGUUAAAAAAAGUCUAAGCUUGGAUGAAAUAUGGGCUGUGCGUGCAAAGACGUGGCUGGUGCCAGACAAGUCUGUGCAAAGUCACCAGCGACCAUCUGUCUUCUUAAACAGAAACCUGAGUCGUGGUUGUAAUAAAUCUGCAUCCAAAGUUUCUCGGCCACAAUUACCUAAACAGCAAGUAACUAAAUCUAUUGUAGCAGUAAGUGACAUUAGAAUGGGUUCAAGAUUGCACUCAUCUGGCAAGCAAAUAUGGAAACAAGAGGCCACCGUUUCAAAACAUGAUGAUAUUUUUGGAACAAGAACCAGUGGUAAACGAUCUACACUAGAUACCAAUAGAGACACUAGAAAAGACCCAAAAUCUAAUACAGACAAAGUGAGAGUUCCAAAGAUGACAGAACAAGUAGAUGGAAAUGCAAAUUUGAAGUCAACUGAAUUUGAGAAUGUGGACUACCAUCCAGGAAUACAGCCAUUGUUCAACGGGCAAAGUGGCCAUUGUGGAGGCAUAUGGAAGUCAAUUGUUGAUGAAUGCUGAAAGUUAGUUUAUAGUACAAAAGAAAUAAAAAUAACUUUCUUGUUCUGAAAUUUUAUACAAAUUAUUUAAUUAAAAUGUACUUAAUUAAAAUGUACUUUGGAUUAGUAUUUGACCAUAUAAUGGAAAUGUCAAAUGUUUUCACAGUGGCAGUAAAAAUAACUCCGAACAAGAAAUACAAAUUGAUGCUCCUCGAGCAAUUCUGUAGCUUGAAUUUUGGUUUAUUUUAGGGCAAGUAAGAUCAUUAUGAUCCUCCUUUUUUGAACUACAACUAUACAGAACGUGGAAAGGCACAGUGGAAGUAAAAGAAUACACUUUGAUAAUCCGUUUGCACAGUUUAAUUGUCUCUUCAAGUGAAUUAGCAAUCCCUUCGAACAAACUAGUAAUUCGCUCAAAUGAUUUGGCAACCUGUUCAAAAUAAUUGGUAAUUACACAUUGGCAAUCUGUUCGAAAGAAUUAGUCAUUUGUUCACACUUUACUAGUCUCUUGAAUUUCUUUACUAAUUCCGAUCGGGCAUGCAACAUUUUAGCUCAUCAGCUAAUUCUUUUCAAAGCAGUGCCAUAGAAAACUGAAAAACACAAAAAUUAAGUGUGAUCAGCCAUUUCCCCUUUUUUUAGCAAUUAGAAAGUUGCAUUUCUGUGGGGGGGGGGGGGGGAGAUCGGGGAGAUGUCUUGAAUUUGAUUUCUCAACAUGGGUUUCAAGGUAUCUAAAAUUAAAUAUUAACAUCUCUACUUGGUCAAAGUGGUUCUUAGAUAUUCUUUAUAACAAAUGAUCUAAUUUUUGUACAAGAUACAUGAUCAAAAUGUGUUCACAUCCACUUAACAAUACUUAUUCAUAUUGACUUAAUUAAAAAUGUUACAGCAUCGCAACAAUAUAGAAUUAGAAGAUAAAGUCUUGUUCUUGGCCACUUGGACGAUGAUGUCUCAAGUACUCUUACAAUGGUGGUAUUGUGGCCAAGUGGUACACGGCAGAAAAUGCCUUUUCCACCAAAAAUAACAACUAUUGAAAGAAAUUGAAAAAAAUAUUCAAGUGCUAUGAAAUAAUAAUAGGCCUUUUAAAAUAAUUUCAAGUUAUCUCUAAAAAGUUUCAUCUUUUAUCUCGAUGUGCAAUUUAACCCUAUACAUGUACAUACAUACCAUUUUUAAAUGGGUUUGUGACCUCAUAUCUAUGUGUUAAAGGAACAUGUUGCCGUGGAUCUGUCGAAUUGGUCCAUGAAAAGCGUUUGUUUUGAAAUCGAUAUGGU